rnacentral:rRNA from 1 species
UACGUAGGUGGCAAGCGUUGUCCGGAUUUACUGGGCGUAAAGAGCGCGCAGGCGGUCGUUCAAGUCGAGUGUGAAAGCCCUGAGCUCAACUCAGGAACUGCAUCCGAAACUGGCGGUCUGGAGUAGUGGAGAGGAAAGCAGAAUUCCUGGUGUAGAGGUGAAAUUCGUAGAUAUCAGGAGGAACACCGGUGGCGAAGGCGGCUUUCUGGACACUUACUGACGCUGAGGCGCGAAAGCGUGGGGAGCAAACAGG